GAUGAAGAACGUAGCGAAAUGCGAUAAGUAAUGCGAAUUGCAGAAUCCGUGAGUCAUCGAAUCUUUGAACGCACAUUGCGCCCGCCAGUAUUCUGGCGGGCAUGCCUGUUCGAGCGUCAUUUCAACCAUCAAGCCCCCGGCUUGUGUUGGGGACCUGCGGCUGCCGCAGGCCCUGAAAACCAGUGGCGGGCUCGCUAGUCACUCCGAGCGUAGUAAUACAUCUCGCUCAGGGCGUGCUGCGGGUUCCGGCCGUUAAAAAGCCUUAUUUACCCAAGGUUGACCUCGGAUCAGGUAGGAAGACCCGCUGAACUUAAGCAUAUCAAUAAGCGGAGGA
rnacentral:misc_RNA from 1 species